UCCCCCGUGUGUUAGCAGCACCCAUUAGUCCCCGUGCGUUAGCAACACUCAUUAGUCCCCGUGCGUUAGCAACACUCAUUUGUCCCCGUGCGUUAGCAACACUCAUUUGUCCCCGUGCGUUAGCAACACUCAUUAGUCCCCGUGCGUUAGCAGCACCCAUUAGUCCCCGUGCGUUAGCAGCACCCAUUAGUCCCCGUGCGUGUAUGUUUGAACUUUUAUUGUCCUCGUUUGCUAGUGAACUGAGAGCUUGUUGUGCAGCAGCAGAUUGUAUCAAUUCACAGGACAGAUCAAUGUGUAUUUAUAGCUGCUGUGGUGGCGUGGGAGGUUGCUGCUCAUCACAAGUGGGUUAGUGGCUAAUCUGCUGUUGACUGUGUGUGUGUGUCCCUCCCCACACAUAAAUAGGAAUUAGUCACCAGAGCUUCUUUAGCCCCUGCAUCCUGCUUUGUUUUGGAUUUGAGAAAAAAAAACAAAUUUUGCUCUGGUAGGAGAAGUCGGCACAGUGGCAGUCAGGGCUUUCCCUGAUUUCAGAACAGGGGUUAAAAAGAACAGUGAGGGAGAGCGGGCAGGAAAGCAACGACAGAAAGAGAAGGGAAGUGGGACUUCUAGCUGGUGCUCAAGCAGAAGGAGAGGCAGUCAGAAGUGAGAACCGAAAGCUACGACUCUUAUCUCAACUCACUCUGUGGAGGAUUGAGUGAGAGAGUUCACUGACAGACAGACAGACAGACAGUUGGCCAGACGCUCUCUCUGCGUUCCACUCCGCUGUGGCGUUUCAUGAGUUGAGGAGAGGGCAGGAAAGAAUGUCAGACAGUUAUUGGUGGAGGAGGAGAGUGUCUGGCUGACUUACUGAGAAGGUAAUGUCAGGUGUUCCUCAGUGAACUACAUGUUAUCUGACUCUGAGGAGAGAAGACACACAGAGACUUCAGAACAGAUUCCGACCACAGAACAGCUUUCUGCCAUUUGCGAAGAUAAAAUCGAAGAAGCACAGAAAGAACUGAAAGAUCCCAAAGCCAGUGCACAGAAAGGUAAUAUUUCUUAUCAAUGGGUCUCCCAAGUGGCGCAGAGGUCUUAGUCACUGCAUCGCAGUGCUUGAGGCGUCACUACAGACCCGGGUUCGACCCAUGAGGGUCUUCCGGGUCAGGGGGGGGGGGUUUGGUCGGCCGGGAUGUCCUUGUCCCGUCACGCUCUAAUGACUCCUGUGGCGGGCCGGGCGCAUUGCGCGCUGACACGGUCGCCAGGUGUACGGCGUUUCCUCCGACACAUUGGUGCGGCUGGCUUCCAGGGUUAAGUGAGCAGUGUGUCAAGAAGCAGUGCGGCUCGGCGGGGUCGUGUUUCGGAGGACGCACGAUUCUCGACCUUCGCCUCUCCUGAGUCCGUACGGGAGUUGCAGCGAUGGGACAAGACUGUAACUACCAAUUUGGAUAUCAAGAAAUUGUGGAGAUAAAGUUAUAUAUAUAUAUAUAUUUUUAAAUGCUUAUCAAUGCGUAGCGUUCAAAGUUUAUUCAUGGAAUGAUUUCACUUUGAACAGACUAAGUGUAUGUGAGAGGGAUUUAUUUUCCUCUUGUACUCACAGUAACUCAGUCUUUUAUGAAGUAUGUACCGUGCCAUUUUUACGUACUACUGCAAUGGCCGGUGUCCUGUGGGGAAAACCCCGGAAGAGUCUUUUUUACCUCUUAAUUGGACAAAGUAUUUGUUCUUUGUGAGGUGUGUCAGCCGA
rnacentral:lncRNA from 1 species